rnacentral:rRNA from 1 species
UACGUAGGGGGCAAGCGUUUGUCCGGAAUUAUUGGGCGUAAAGAGCGUGUAGGCGGUCCGGUAAGUCGGCUGUGAAAGUCCAGGGCUCAACCCCUGGGAUGCCGGUCGAUACUGCCCGGACUAGAGUUCGGAAGAGGCGAGUGGAAUUCCCCGGUGUAGCGGUGAAAUGCGCAGAUAUCGGGAGGAACACCUAUGGCGAAGGCAGCUCGCUGGGGACGUUACUGACGCUGAGACGCGAAAGCGUGGGGGAGCAAACAGG